UGAGAUAUUGGUCAUGGGCGGAACCUGACCAGCCAAGUAGCGUGAAGGAUGACUGCCCUAUGGGUUGUAAACUUCUUUUAUAAGGGAAUAAAUGUGGGUACGCGUACCCGUUUGCAUGUACCUUAUGAAUAAGGAUCGGCUAACUCCGUGCCAGCAGCCGCGGUAAUACGGAGGAUCCGAGCGUUAUCCGGAUUUAUUGGGUUUAAAGGGAGCGUAGGCGGGCAGCUUAAGUCAGCUUGUGAAAGUUUGGGGCUCAACCUUAAAAUUGCAGUUGAUACUGGGUGCCUUGAGUGCAGUAUAGGCAGGCGGAAUUCGUGGUGUAGCCGGUGAAAUGCUUAGAUAUCACGAAGAACUCCUAUUGCGAAGGCAGCUUGCUGGAGUGUAACUGACCUGAUGCUA
rnacentral:rRNA from 1 species